AGUGAUGAAGGUUUUCGGAUCGUAAAGCUCUGUUGCCAGGGAAGAAUAAAGACGAGAGUGACUGCUCGCCUGAUGACGGUACCUGAGAAGAAAGCCCCGGCUAACUACGUGCCAGCAGCCGCGGUAAUACGUAGGGGGCAAGCGUUGUCCGGAAUUAUUGGGCGUAAAGCGCGCGCAGGCGGUUUUUUAAGUCCGAUGUAUAAGCCCGGGGCUCAACCCCGGGAGGCAUGGGAAACUGGGAGGCUUGAGUACAGAAGAGGAGAGUGGAAUUCCACGUGUAGCGGUGAAAUGCGUAGAUAUGUGGAGGAACACCAGUGGCGAAGGCGACUCUCUGGUCUGUAACUGACGCUGAGGCGCGAAAGCGUGGGGAGCAAACAGGAUUAGAUACCCUGGUAGUCCACGCUGUAAACGAUGAAUGCUAGGUGUCAGGGGUUUCAAUACCCUGGGUGCCGAAGUUAACACAUUAAGCAUUCCGCCUGGGGAGUACGGUCGCAAGACUGAAACUCAAA
rnacentral:rRNA from 1 species